GCUUACAGCCACACCACUGUGACACCGACCGGUCCCAUCUGAUCUUGCGCAGUCGGGCCUGGUUGGUACUUGGAUGGGAGACCACCUAGGAAUACCCGGUGCUGUAAAGG
rnacentral:rRNA from 1 species